GAUGAACGCUAGCGGCAGGCCUAAUACAUGCAAGUCGGACGGGAUUCAGGAGCUUGCUUCUGAUGAGAGUGGCGCACGGGUGCGUAACACGUAUGUAACCUACCUUUAUCAGGGGGAUAGCCUCUCGAAAGAGAGAUUAAGCCCGCAUAAAAUCACAGCACAGCAUUGUGUAAUGAUCAAAUAUUUAUAGGAUAAAGAUGGGCAUGCGGAACAUUAGCUAGAUGGCGGGGUAACGGCCCACCAUGGCGACGACGUUUAGGGGAUCUGAGAGGAUGGCCCCCCACACUGGUACUGAGACACGGACCAGACUCCUACGGGAGGCAGCAGUAAGGAAUAUUGGUCAAUGGGCGGAAGCCUGAACCAGCCAUGCCGCGUGCAGGAAGACGGCCCUACGGGUUGUAAACUGCUUUUAUACGGGAAUAAACCCAGAUACGUGUAUCUGGCUGAAUGUACUGGAAGAAUAAGGAUCGGCUAACUCCGUG
rnacentral:rRNA from 1 species